UAGCCUGCCCAAUGAUUUAAUUUAAUGGCCGCAGUAUAUUGACUGUGCAAAGGUAGCGUAAUCAUUAGUUUUUUAAUUGAAAGCUUGUAUGAAAGGCUUGACGAGGUAAUUACUGUCUCUAUUUAAAAUUAUUAGAAUUUAACUUUUAAGUUAAAAGGCUUAAAUAAAAAUAAAAGACGAGAAGACCCUAUAGAUCUUUAUUUUUAAUUAGUUUAAGUUAUUUAAGUGUUAAUAAUUAAUUUAAUUUAAUUAUAUAUUUUAUUGGGGUAAUAUAAAGAUUUAAUAAAUUCUUUAUUAUUGAAACAUUAAUCUAUGAUUAAAUGAUCCGUAUUUAACGAUUGUAAGAUUAAGUUACCUUAGGGAUAACAGCGUAAUGUUUUUUGAGAGUUCAUAUCGACAAAAAAGAUUGCGACCUCGAUGUUGGAUUAAAAAUUAUUUUAGGUGUAGAAGCUU
rnacentral:rRNA from 1 species